UUGCAGUUAAAAAGCUCGUAGUUGGAUUUCUGCGGGGGCGGGGCGGCCGACCUCAACUCGAGGUUCGAGCUAGCACUUCCCCUGCAUCCUGCCGCGAACCGUGCUACCAUUAGUUUGGUGGCGCUGGGGAUCGGCUCGUUUACUUUGAGAAAAAUAGAGUGUUCAAAGCAGGCCACACGCCUUGAAUAAGUUAGCAUGGAAUAAUGAUAAAGGACUUCGGUUCUAUUUUGUUGGUGUUCGGGACUGAAGUAAUGAUUGAUAGGGACAGUUGGGGCGGUCAGUAUUCCAAAGCGAGAGGUGAAAUUCUUAGACCUUCGGAAGACUAACAGCUGCGAAAGCGUUCCGCAAGGA
rnacentral:rRNA from 1 species